rnacentral:rRNA from 1 species
CCUACGGGAGGCAGCAGUGAGGAAUAUUGGUCAAUGGGCGGGAGCCUGAACCAGCCAAGUCGCGUGAGGGAAGACGGUCCUAUGGAUUGUAAACCUCUUUAGGCGGGGAGCAAUGCCGGGCACGCGUGCCCGGAGGGAGAGUACCCGCAGAAUAAGCAUCGGCUAACUCCGUGCCAGCAGCCGCGGUAAUACGGAGGAUGCGAGCGUUAUCAGGAUUGAUUGGGUUUAGAGGGUGCGUAGGCGGAUUUUUAAGUCAGCGGUAAAAUGUCCGGGCUCAACCCGGGCCGGCCGUUGAAACUGGGGAUCUUGAGUGGGCGAGAAGUAUGCGGAAUGCGUGGUGUAGCGGUGAAAUGCAUAGAUAUCACGCAGAACUCCGAUUGCGAAGGCAGCAUACCGGCGCCCGACUGACGCUGAGGCACGAAAGCGUGGGGAUCGAACAGGAUUAGAUACCCCUGUAGUC